GGGGAUUUAGCUCAGCGGCAUAAGUGCCUGCCUUGAAAGCAGGCAGUCGAACCCCCA
rnacentral:tRNA from 1 species